CUCUCCCAGAUGGCAACUUGUUUAUCAAAGCAUGAAAACCAAGAAGGUGAUAAAGAAAGUCUGCUAGCAAGACAUAAGUCACAAUCUUUUGUAAUCUAUUUAUGAAAGUGACAUCCCAUCAUCUUGACCACAAUCUAUUGAUUAGAAACAAGUACAGCUCACCCUCAACAAGAGGAGAUAAUAUCCAGGUGUGAAUUGCACAAGGACAGGAAAUAGAGGAAACCACAUAACUGAGCUCAAGUCCAAG
rnacentral:lncRNA from 1 species